AAUAUUUUAAUUUAAAAUAAAUAAUAAGUUAAUAUAUAAUAAAAAAAAAUUAAUU
rnacentral:tRNA from 1 species